GGUGACGUCAUGACGCUACGCAAACGCAGACAGCGUUGCCGGGACGACGAUCAAGGCGUCCCACCGCGGCGGAAAGAGCAACGAGACUUUUCUUCCAGCCAUCCAUCUGGUCUUCCCGAUGGAGGCCAAAGUGAUGAUGAUGGAGGAGAGCGUUCAGCCCCUCCGAGUCCCCCCUCAGAUGUCCAUCUAUGCCGACCAGCACAAUAUUAUCCACCUGGUGCAGACCAUGGUAUCUAGCCUGGCUGUGGACCAGCCCGAAGACCCCAUCGCAUACCUUCUGCUUCUGCUGCAGGACAGCAGCGUGCACGUUCCCAGGGUGGUCCUGCUGGGUGCCCCCGCCGUGGGCAAAACCACUCUGGCCGGGCGACUGUGCGCCGACCUGGGAGCUGUGCACGUCACCAUGGAGACGCUCCUGGACGACCCAUCGCCUGCGGGCCAAGAGGCGCGCCGCCACGCGCUCAAGCAAGAGGAGGUGCCUGACGAUCUUCUGGUGAGCUUGAUUCAAGGCAGACUCAAAGAGUCUGACUGCUUCAACACGGGCUGGGUGCUGGACGGGCUCCCGCAAACUCGGCUGCAGGCUCGCAGUCUCCAGCAGGGCGGCGUCAUUCCCAAACACGUGGUUCUGCUGGUGGCCGGUGAAGACGUUCUCCUGGAGCGCCACCGCGGCAGGCUGCUGGACCCGCUGACCAGAGACGUGUACCACGAGACCUUCGCGCGACCCCGCGAGGAGGCGGCGCGGCGCGCCGAGAAGAGCGCCGACGCCCACGUCGGGGCUCUGAGAGCCCACCUGCAGCGCUAUCGUUGCAAGGUCACCGGCUUGAGCUCCGCCUACCGACACAUCCUCACCACAGUGGACGCCGACCAGCCGCCGCUCGACGUUUACCAGCAAGCCCUGGCCUUCCUGCGGACUCGGCGCUGUUCCCGAACUCCCAGGGUUCUCCUGUUGGGGCCGCCGGGCUCAGGGAAGAGACUUCAAGCCAAGAUGCUGGCAGACAAAUACAAGAUGGUGGACGUCUGUUGCAGUGACCUCCUUCGUUGGGCCGAAGCCGACCCGUCUUCAGUGGGAGAAGAAGUUCGAACGUACGUGCAGCACAACCGGACAGUUCCAAAAAGUGUCUCUUGGAAAGUCUUUCAAGAGCGACUGGACGGUGCGGACUGCAGCCAGCGCGGUUGGAUCCUUCACCACCUGCCGUGCGACCUGCAGCACGCCAAACACUUAACGGAGUCCCUCAACGCCCCCAACAGAGUUUUCUUCCUGGAGUUGACUGAUGACGUUUGUUUACAAAGAACCACAAUCACCCCGGUUCAUCCCAGGUCAGUUGCGACGCCAAAUCAAAUCUUCUCUAAUCGAAGCAACGUUUCAAUGCGUCCACGCGGCACCUGGCGACGUCAGCCAAUGUCUUGACAACACACGUAGUGUCACGCAAGCGCUCGGUGUGUACAGGACACACACCGCAGGCCUGCAGUGUGUGUUUCCAGAUGGCGUGCACGUGGAUGCAGAUCAGGAUCCCCAGUGUGUGUUUGAGGCUUUAGACAAACAACUCACCAUACAAACACACGCACAUUGACGCGCACACACACACACACACACACACACACGCAAAGUGCAGUUCAACGUUUGUCUGUCUCUCUCUCUCAAUCUCUGGAGCUGUCCAAUCAAUGUGAAUAAAAUCAGUGCCCAUGCCUGUCGAUGUCA